rnacentral:rRNA from 1 species
GGAAUCUUCCACAAUGGACGAAAGUCUGAUGGAGCAACGCCGCGUGAGUGAAGAAGGUUUUCGGAUCGUAAAACUCUGUUGUAAGGGAAGAACACGUACGAGAGUAACUGCUCGUACCUUGACGGUACCUUAUUAGAAAGCCACGGCUAACUCCGUGCCAGCAGCCGCGGUAAUACGGGGGGGGCAAGCGUUGUUCGGAAUUACUGGGCGUAAAGGGCUCGUAGGCGGCCAACUCAGUCGGAUGUGAAAUCCCCAGGCUCAACUUGGGAACUGCAUCCGAUACUGGUUGGCUUGAAUCCGGGAGAGGGAUGCAGAAUUCCAGGUGUAGCGGUGAAAUGCGUAGAUAUCUGGAGGAAUACCGGUGGCGAAGGCGGCAUCCUGGACCGGCAUUGACGCUGAUGAGCGAAAGCCAGGGGAGCAAAC